UACAGAGGUCCCAACCGUUGUUCGGAUUCAUUGGGCGUAAAGGGUGCGUAGGCGGCGGGGCAAGUCAGGUGUGAAAUCUCGGGGCUCAACCCCGAAACCGCACUUGAUACUGCCUUGCUCGAGUACUGGAGAGGAGACUGGAAUUUACGGUGUAGCAGUGAAAUGCGUAGAUAUCGUAAGGAAGACCAGUGGCGAAGGCGAGUCUCUGGACAGUUACUGACGCUGAGGCACGAAGGCCAGGGGAGCAAACGGG
rnacentral:rRNA from 1 species